AUACGGAGGAUGCGAGCGUUAUCCGGAUUUAUUGGGUUUAAAGGGUGCGUAGGCGGAAAGGUAAGUCAGCGGUGAAACUCAGGUGCUCAACACCUGCCGUGCCGUUGAUACUGUUUUUCUGGAAUGCGGAUGCUGUGGGAGGAAUGUGUGGUGUAGCGGUGAAAUGCAUAGAUAUCACACAGAACACCGAUUGCGAAGGCAUCUCACAAAUCCGUGAUUGACGCUGAGGCACGAAAGUGUGGGGAUCGAACAGGAUUAGAUACCCUGGUAGUCCACACUGUAAACGAUGAUAACUCGCUGUUGGCGAUAUACAGUCAGUGGCCAAGCGAAAGCGAUAAGUUAUCCACCUGGGGAGUACGUCGGCAACGAUGAAACUCAAAUGAAUUGACGGGG
rnacentral:rRNA from 1 species